CUGCCCUGCCCGCCCGUCUAUGACCCUUGCCUGCCUCCUCUCGAACACAGGGUCUCUUCCGUCUGGCUGCUGGGGCCUCGGUGCUGAAGCGUCUCAAGCAGACGAUGGCCUCGGACCCCCACAGCCUGGAGGAGUUCUGCUCCGACCCACACGCCGUGGCAGGUGCCCUCAAGUCCUAUCUGCGGGAGCUGCCGGAGCCUCUGAUGACCUUCGACCUCUAUGACGACUGGAUGACGGCAGCCAGCCUGAAGGAGCCAGGGGCCCGGCUGCAGGCCCUCCAAGAGGUGUGCAGCCGCCUGCCCCCUGAGAACCUCAGCAACCUCAGGUACCUGAUGAAGUUCCUGGCACGGCUGGCCGAGGAGCAGGAGGUGAACAAGAUGACACCCAGCAACAUCGCCAUCGUCCUGGGACCCAACCUGCUGUGGCCACCUGAGAAAGAAGGGGACCAGGCCCAGCUGGAUGCGGCCUCCGUGUCUUCCAUCCAGGUGGUGGGCGUCGUCGAGGCGCUGAUCCAGAGCGCAGACACCCUCUUCCCUGGAGACAUCAACUUCAACGUGUCAGGCCUCUUCUCAGCUGUUACCCUCCAGGACACAGUCAGUGACAGGCUGGCCUCUGAGGAACUGCCACCCACUGCCGUGCCCACCCCAGCCAUCACCCCGGCUCCAGCUCCAGCUCCAGUUCCAGCCCCAGCCUUGGCUUCAGCGGCUACCAAGGAAAGGUGAGGACUGAGGGGCAUGAAUGGCUCCUGUGGUGGUCCCACAGUCAGCCUGC
rnacentral:sRNA from 1 species